AUUGAACGCUGGCGGCAGGCUUAACACAUGCAAGUCGAGCGGAGAUGAGGUGCUUGCACCUUAUCUUAGCGGCGGACGGGUGAGUAAUGCUUAGGAAUCUGCCAUUUAGUGGGGGACAACAUUCCGAAAGGAAUGCUAAUACCGCAUACGUCCUACGGGAGAAAGUAGGGGAUCUUCGGACCUUGCGCUAAAUGAUGAGCCUAAGUCGGAUUAGCUAGUUGGUGGGGUAAAGGCCUACCAAGGCGACGAUCUGUAGCGGGUCUGAGAGGAUGAUCCGCCACACUGGGACUGAGACACGGCCCAGACUCCUACGGGAGGCAGCAGUGGGGAAUAUUGGACAAUGGGGGGAACCCUGAUCCAGCCAUGCCGCGUGUGUGAAGAAGGCCUUAUGGUUGUAAAGCACUUUAAGCGAGGAGGAGGCUACUGAGACUAAUACUCUUGGAUAGUGGACGUUACUCGCAGAAUAAGCACCGGCUAACUCUGUG
rnacentral:rRNA from 1 species